rnacentral:rRNA from 1 species
AUUGAACGCUGGCGGCAGGCUUAACACAUGCAAGUCGAGCGGGGGAAGGUAGCUUGCUACCGGACCUAGCGGCGGACGGGUGAGUAAUGCUUAGGAAUCUGCCUAUUAGUGGAGGACAACAUCUCGAAAGGGAUGCUAAUACCGCAUACGUCCUACGGGAGAAAGCAGGGGAUCUUCGGACCUUGCGCUAAUAGAUGAGCCUAAGUCGGAUUAGCUAGUUGGUGGGGUAAAGGCCUACCAAGGCGACGAUCUGUAGCGGGUCUGAGAGGAUGAUCCGCCACACUGGGACUGAGACACGGCCCAGACUCCUACGGGAGGCAGCAGUGGGGAAUAUUGGACAAUGGGGGAACCCUGAUCCAGCCAUGCCGCGUGUGUGAAGAAGGCCUUAUGGUUGUAAAGCACUUUAAGCGAGGAGGAGGCUACUCUAGUUAAUACCUAGGGAUAGUGGACGUUACCCGCAGAAUAAGCACCGGCUAACUCUGUGCCAGCCGCCGCAGUAA